rnacentral:lncRNA from 1 species
AUAUCAAUUCAGUCCUUUAUCAUAAAGUCCAGUGCUUCUUCUGGGAAGGUGUGAGAGGAUUACUACUGGUCAGGGUUCCUUUCCUCUUCUCCAUCAUAGUUUUUCUUUAAAGGGAAAAACUAUCCUUAGUGUUUUGUUGGCACAGGUACCAUUGUUUAAUCUGUGCUUCCCUUGAUUCUGCUUUCUGGUAGCAUCAAUCCAUAUUAACAUAGGUUCCUGGUCACCUACAGGAAUAAAAAGACCCACUGUAUGGAGAUAGUGCCCUUCAGACUUCUCUGAUGUCCCAAAUUCUGCUAGUCAUCACACCUCCUCUGCUGCCAGAUAUGUUUCUAUAUGGAGGUGUGUGGGUCUGUGUGGAGAGAAAGUGAGCAGCUGAGAAGAACCAAACUACUGGAAACUCAAGGACCUGCAAAGGAAAGCUGUAAGUCAGUUUGGAAAUAUGGGACCUUACCUUUGCCAAAAAACUUAAAAAAAAAGUGUCGGCUGGAAUUUCAAGAAUGGCAUUUUCGAAGUUGGGACUUAAUGUCAUUGUGAAUACUUUUUUACCUUAUGAAAAGAAAAUUAACUGUUGACUCUUGGCCUGAGAGCAUCCACUAAGCUGACAGCCUGAAUUUUAACCCUGAUCAGCCAACACUUGAAUGUCAGCAACAGGCUAAUUGUGGAACUGAUCAUUAAACUAGGCACAAUUCCUCCC